rnacentral:rRNA from 1 species
UACGUAGGGGGCAAGCGUUGUCCGGAUUUAUUGGGCGUAAAGAGCGUGUAGGCGGCCUGGUAGGUCAGCUGUGAAAACUCGAGGCUCAACCUCGAGACGUCGGUUGAAACCACCUGGCUAGAGUCCGGAAGAGGAGAGUGGAAUUCCCGGUGUAGCGGUGAAAUGCGCAGAUAUCGGGAGGAACACCAAUUGCGAAGGCAGCUUGCUGGGACGGUACUGACGCUGAGGCGCGAAAGCGUGGGGAGCAACAGG